CACUGCACAUUUCAUCCAGAAUGGCAGCCGUUCUCAUAGGAUCUCAGAAGCUAAGCAGUGUUGGGCCUGGAUAGAAUUCGCAUGGGCGUCCACCACACACAAUUGCUUGUUGCAUGCUGCGU
rnacentral:rRNA from 1 species